UUCCGAGGAAUUAAAAAUCUUUAAACCUUGUUUCAAAUUCCGUUCGAAGAUUUGAAAUUUUUUCUGCGUUUUUUUUAUACGAUGCAGUAUCCCUGGAAUGGCAGGUGCCGCAAGCCAGUUAGAAUUUUACAUUUUCGGGCGUACAAUUUAAAAUGAUCCGUAUAGUUUAUAAAUAAAGUAUAUUAUAAUUUCAUAUGCUAGUUUCCUUUCUAAUUCAUAUUUCUAAUUUAUUUUUACUUUGCGUCGGAUAUAUUGACUGGGCCACAAAAAUGUUCAUCUCGGGUCGCGAGUUUGACACCCCUGCUUUGGUGGAUCGAUAAAAGGAGUACCAAGCAUGCUUGUGAACUAAAGACUAGAAGUUCCACGUUCGACUGACCAUCCAACAGGAACAUCUGCUCUUGCAGAUUCAAAGAGGAGCUUGAAGUCAAUCGCCUUAGUACUAUCAAAAUGAAGCCAUCGAAGAUAUUUUAGAGCUGAAAAUCAAUUUUGUAGACUUGCUGCAUCUUUUAAAGUAGUUUUUUGAAAUGUGUUCAUUUGUUGUACACUUAAAAAUAAUAAUAAAUUAUUUAUUUUUCGUUGUUC